UACGGAGGUGCGAGCGUUGUCCGGAAUCACUGGGCGUAAAGGGCGCGUAGGCGGCCUGAUAAAGUAGGGGGUGAAAUCCUGCGGCUUAACCGCAGGGCUGCCUUCUAAACUGUCAGGCUAGAGCACGGUAGAGGCAGAUGGAAUUCCCGGUGUAGCGGUGGAAUGCGUAGAGAUCGGGAAGAACAUCAGUGGCGAAGGCGGUCUGUUGGGCCGUUGCUGACGCUGAGGCGCGACAGCGUGGGGAGCAACAGG
rnacentral:rRNA from 1 species